rnacentral:rRNA from 1 species
ACGUAGGGUGCGAGCGUUAAUCGGAAUUACUGGGCGUAAAGCGUGCGCAGGCGGUUUUGUAAGCCAGGUGUGAAAUCCCCGGGCUCAACUUGGGAACUGCGUCUGAUACUGGAUGGCUUGAAUUCGGGAGAGGGAUGCAGAAUUCCAGGUGUAGCGGUGAAAUGCGUAGAUAUCUGGAGGAAUACCGGUGGCGAAGGCGGCAUCCUGGACCGAGAUUGACUCUGAGGAGCGAAAGCUAGGGGAGCAAACGGGA